AAAGUCUGACGGAGCAACGCCGCGUGAGUGAUGAAGGCCUUCGGGUCGUAAAGCUCUGUUGUUAGGGAAGAACAAGUACCGUUCAAAUAGGGCGGUACCAUGACGGUACCUAACCAGAAAGCCACGGCUAACUACGUGCCAGCAGCCGCGGUAAUACGUAGGUGGCAAGCGUUGUCCGGAAUUAUUGGGCGUAAAGGGCUCGCAGGCGGUUCCUUAAGUCUGAUGUGAAAGCCCACGGCUCAACCGUGGAGGGUCAUUGGAAACUGGGGAACUUGAGUACAGAAGAGGAGAGUGGAAUUCCACGUGUAGCGGUGAAAUGCGUAGAGAUGUGGAGGAACACCAGUGGCGAAGGCGACUCUCUGGUCUGUAACUGACGCUGAGGAGCGAAAGCGUGGGGAGCGAACAGGAUUAGAUACCCUGGUAGUCCACGCCGUAAACGAUGAGUGCUAAGUGUUAGAGGGUUUCCGCCCUUUAGUGCUGCAGCAAACGCAUUAAGCACUCCGCCUGGGGAGUACGGUCGCAAGACUGAAACUCAAAGGAAUUGACGGGGGCCCGCACAAGCGGUGGAGCAUGUGGUUUAAUUCGAAGCAACGCGAAGAACCUUACCAGGUCUUGACAUCCCAUGACAACUCUAGAGAUAGAGCGUUCCCCUUCGGGGGACAUGGUGACAGGUGGUGCAUGGUUGUCGUCAGCUCGUGUCGUGAGAUGUUGGGUUAAGUCCCGCAACGAGCGCAACCCUUGAUCUUAGUUGCCAGCAUUUAGUUGGGCACUCUAAGGUGACUGCCGGUGACAAACCGGAGGAAGGUGGGGAUGACGUCAAAUCAUCAUGCCCCUUAUGACCUGGGCUACACACGUGCUACAAUGGAUGGUACAAAGGGCUGCGAGACUGCGAAGUUAAGCGAAUCCCAUAAAACCAUUCUCAGUUCGGAUUGCAGGCUGCAACUCGCCUGCAUGAAGCUGGAAUCGCUAGUAAU
rnacentral:rRNA from 1 species